AGACCGGUUUACUGGUCGUGCUUUUGUACGUACUGGUAUUAUUGGUUUCUCCUUUCUGACGAACUAUAAUGCCAUUAAUUUGGUGUUUUAGGGAAUCAGGACUGUUACUUUGAAAAAAUUAGAGUGUUUAAAGCAGGCUCGCGCUUGAAUACAUUAGCAUGGAAUAAUGAAAUAGGACGUUCGAUCCUAUUUUGUUGGUUUCUAGGAUUGACGUA
rnacentral:rRNA from 1 species